rnacentral:rRNA from 1 species
AUUGAACGCUGGCGGCAUGCCUUACACAUGCAAGUCGAACGGUAACAGCACUUCGGUGGCUGACGAGUGGCGAACGGGUGAGUAAUACAUCGGAACGUGCCCGAGAGUGGGGGAUAACGCAGCGAAAGCUGUGCUAAUACCGCAUACGAUCUACGGAUGAAAGCAGGGGACCGCAAGGCCUUGCGCUCAUGGAGCGGCCGAUGGCAGAUUAGGUAGUUGGUGGGAUAAAAGCUUACCAAGCCGACGAUCUGUAGCUGGUCUGAGAGGACGACCAGCCACACUGGGACUGAGACACGGCCCAGACUCCUACGGGAGGCAGCAGUGGGGAAUUUUGGACAAUGGGCGAAAGCCUGAUCCAGCCAUGCCGCGUGCAGGAUGAAGGCCUCGGUUGUAACUGCUUUGUACGGUAACGAAAGGUACGUUUCUAAUAAGAAGGACUCAUGACGGUACCGUAAGAAUAAGACACCGGCUAACUAACGUGCCAGCACG